rnacentral:misc_RNA from 1 species
GAGAGAGAGAGGGGGGAGAAAAGGGAGAAGUAAGAGGUGAAAGCAAAUGUUUGUUGGUCUAGCUUGACAGUGUGAUCGAAUUCUCAGAUUAGUGGAUUGGAGUUGUCAUCUCUUUGUGCCUUGUGUGUUGUGGUCCUUCCUUCAUAAUGCGUAAAAUCUUUUCUCGUAUGGAAUGUCCGAAUCGUGUGGAGUAUGGGGAGAGUGUGAGCGUGGGGUCCCGGACGGUGUUGGUGGAGGACGUGAUCGCGGAGGGUGGUUUCGGAGUGGUGUUCCUCGUCAAGUGUGGAGUGAGAAAAUAUGCCCUGAAGCGAAUGUACGUGAACAAUGCGCGGGACCUGUCCAUUUGCAAGAGGGAGAUCUCCAUCGUGCGCCACCUGGGCACACACCCCCACCUGAUCGGCUACGUGGACUCUCGCGUGAGUGCGCUGAAGGCGGAUGUGUGUGAGGUGCUGCUGUUGAUGCCGUACCACGCCACGACGCUCCUGAGCCUCAUGAAUGAGAAAAUGAAGAGCGGCGGGUUUGCAGAGGAGGAGAUUGUUGAGAUCUUGAUGGACAUCUGCCUGGGUGUGGGCCGCUUGCAUCAUUGUUCCACGCCAAUCAUUCAUCGGGAUCUCAAAGUAGAAAAUAUUUUACGAUCUGAUGAAGGUGCAUAUAUUAUCUGUGAUUUUGGAUCGGCAACUUCGCGUAUUCUUAAUUCGGGAAUGCAAGGUAUAAAUCAAGUUGAAGAUGAGAUAAAAAAAUACACGACACUACCUUAUCGAGCACCUGAGAUGGUUGAUCUCUACUCAAACAAGCCACUUACUCCUAAAUUAGAUAUAUGGGCUUUAGGUUGCUUACUUUAUAACCUUUGCUUCUUUUCAUUGCCCUUUGGAGAAUCUACUUUAGCUAUUCAAUCAGGGGUAUUUACAUUUCCUAAGCGAUCAAUCUACUCUGAUAAACUACAUAAACUUAUUCGUUAUUUAUUGACUCCUGAUGUAGAAGAAAGGCCGGAUAUUUUUCAAGCCACGUACUUGACGUAUUCAAUCGCUGAAAAGGAGUGCCCUUUACAAAAUCUGAACAAUGCAGAUGUACCCCAUUUCGAUAACAUUUCCUUGAUUGAUCCUUCAGAUACCAAAGUCAAUCAAGUGGGAUCUACUUUAAAGCUCAAGUCUACUGAAAGUAAAAGAAGUGUCCAUGAUGAUCGGUCAGAUACACCAACUAUAGAAAAUAAAACUACUAUAACACCAAGACAACGUCCCAAAGCAAAUAAAAGUGCUUCCGGCUCUCAUACAUUACCUAUUCAUCAAUUAGAUUUUUUUGAUUUCUCUUCAGUUCCAAUGACUUUGACGAAAGUUGAAACUGUUAAAUCGGAAAAUGACAUCAAUGGAUGUCAAAGCAAUAGUGUUGGUAUCAGUCAGAGUAAAAGCUCAUUACAUAAGUGCCCAGGUGGGUGGAACCCAUUUUCUGAAUCUAAAUUUUCUCAACUGUCUGAAGAUGCAUUGUUUGGUGUUCAGUUUGACAAAAUACGUGAGGAAAUGUAUCAAAGCAGAUACGAAAGUUAUAAUUCAAAACGGGAUCCUUUUGGCUCGGCACCUUUUUCAUUCUUUAAAAAAGAUUCAUAAAUCAUGAAAAACAGAUUACAGAACAAACUGAUUAACUUUUUUCAUUGUAUAUUAUAUUUAUUUAUUAGACUGGUUCUUAUUUUUAUUUUAUUUUUAACAAAAAGUUAGGCGGACAUAGUCUAAAAAUGUUUCCUUAUAUAAAAAUGAAGAAAUGUAAAGUUUGAGUCAUUUGAUCAAUUUUUAGAGGUUGUGAAUAGGCUUGAAGUCGUAAAAUUUACAAUUUUAUUUAAAAAAUGAAUUAUUACCUUAAAAGUAUUCAAAAGACCGUAUUUUAUUAUAAAUAACUAUAAGAUGAAUAAACAAUUUUUCAAAAGUUUAAAAUAUAUUUUGCCCCUACAAUGAUUAUUUCUUAUAUUAAAAAAGACUAAUUUAAUAACGUUGUACCUCUUGGUUGUUUUUUUUAAAAUUUAUAUACAUAUAACAUAAUAUCUAAACUUUUUUGAAAACUGUUAUCAAACUAAAAAAGGGUGUAUAUCCCAGAUUUUGAUUUUUUUUUUUUUUUGUGUAAAAUGGAUAGUAAUGCUUAUUAUUGUCCUCUAACGCGUAGCAUAUUGAAAAAUAAGGAUAUUAGAUAUGAAGUGAUUAUAGGAUUAUUAGUACUACCUUGAUUUUUUUGGGCUAUUAUCCACUACGAUUAAUACUAUUUAAUCAUUCUGGAGUAAUGCACUAGGUGAAUUUAAUAAGAGAGAUACUCUUGAUAAUGUGUAUUUUUUCACUUUGAAAGAAAGUUUAAUCUUAUGUUAUACAUAAAAGGCAAAAAAAGUGGGCGGAACUGCCAUACUAUUUUUUUGUUUUUUAUUUAAGAAUUAAUCAUUGUUUAUUCCUCUGAAAAAGUUAUUCAAAAAAAAAAUAAAUUACAAUUUCUAAGGGAAAAAUUACAUGUUUUCAUAAAAUUGUACAAUUUCAAAAACUGUUAAAAAUAGCAUUUUGUAGACCAUGUCCUCCUAACAUCUUGGAAAAAAAAAAAAAAUAAGAACUAGUCCAAUAGAUAUAUAUGGGUUAUUCAAUCGAAAAUUUACACUCAAUUUUUUUUUCAUCCAAUUUGAAUAAAAUUUGGUAUGUCAUAUCAAUUAUUAUUGGGAAACUCAAGUGAAAUUUCAGAUAUUGAACUCAAUCCAGCUCUUGAGUUAUGAGCUCCUUCAAAAUCGUCUUUAACACCUUUGCGUUUGAAUUGUAGUUCGUAAACCACUUUUCUGACGGAUGCAGAUAAUACAUCUUUUGAUGAAUCAAAUUAUACUGCAUUACUAUAGAAAUAUCUUCUUUAACGAUUUUUUUAUUAAACUGUUCCUCUUCCUUGUUGUAGUUGGUAAUCUGAAUAGUGUUUUUAUUUUAUUUUCCAAAGCUGUUAUCAUUAUUCAUUAGUUCUUGAGGAGAGGGCAUCUAAGUCUACAGGGUGGUCCAUUGGAAUCUGAAAACUUACUCAUUCAAUCAUUAAUGAAGGUUGAGUGAUUGAAAUUAAUUCAUACUUCGAUAUAUUAAAGCAUACACACAAAAAAAAAAACCUGAGUUCUCUAGCUUACGUACAAGUCGAGAAAAUGACACUUGAACGUUCGCGCACUUCAAACCAUUGAGUGUCUUCAGGACCACCGUCUGAAACGUUGGAGAGGAAGAAGGGCUCUGUCAAAAAUGGCAAACUGGAACCGGAUGAGUUAAAGGAAACAACCCAAGCUAAUUCCCUUAAGUCCAUGAAGGCCCGUGCAAAAGAGCUAGGGGUUUCAUACCAUAAUGUCCAGAGAGCUAUAAAAAAAUGGAUGGAGAGGCCACUUUUGCCACUAGCAAAGAAAGAAACCCAUCUCUUCCGUUGCAUGACUCUUUUGAACUCAUUUUGACAGAUUUGGCCCCUACAGCACUGGGAUACUAUGAAGAGGACUAUAUCUUGAGUGGGUGUCAGGCCUUCUGCCGACUCCUGGAAGUCGUCAUUGCCGCUAAGUGCGGCUGCAUUAAUGAUUAACAUAGCUCAGACACACAUCGAUUAUUAAUUUUGUCGGAAUCCUAUUGUUAAUUAAUAAAUUAUAUCUUGAUGAAUUUUAAAUUUCAAAGUGCUCAGAUUUUAAUGGACCACUUGGUAAAGUAGCCCUGCGUGUACACUAAUAAAUGACGAAGAGCAAAAUUGAAGAUAUGUUUAGUAGUUAUAAGGUUAAGUCCAUGUUACGCUGAGAGUAGAAUUGAGGAAUGGAUCGGCAUUAGAGUAAUUCUUGAAAAUAUAUUGUUACAUAUAUACUGGGAUGAUUUGUGUUAAUCUCCUUCGACUCGUAGCUGAUUCUAAUAAUACGUCAUGACAGAGGUAUAAUAGUAUAUAGAUCGGACACAGUUAAUGAAAGAACUGAGAUGUGAUCUAUGAAGGUAAUAUUUAUUUGACUGGAGUAGAAAAAAAUGGAAAUGAACACGCAGUUUAUAUGUGUGACACCUCACUUGGAUUUAACAGAAGUCAGCCAAUAAAAUGUACUAAAUGUCUAGUGAGUUUACAAUCAAAUAUUUUAAUAAAAUGAUUAAAAUCAAAUAGUUAUUCGAUUUUUAUUCAUUGUGCUAUUCAAAUUGAUUUUUUCUACAUUAUGUUCCUUAAUUUUUGUAGUAUCUGAAAGCCGUUGUUAAAAAUAUUGCUGGUAUUUUAGUUCAUGUCAAGUUUUUUUUUGAAAAUGCUACAGCAUCUUCAAUGAUGGUUUAGUGCAUCAUAUAUAUAUAUAUAUUGCUGCUAAUGAUCAAAAACAGGAUAUCUUGAAUAUUUGAGUUAGAAAAAGAUGAUUUAUUUAAAUUGUGAUAUAAUAUGACCUCCCAAGGAAGUCUAUGGUUAGAGGAACUGACAUUUUCAUCAUUCUUCAUUUCUGUCAAUGCCGAGAAAGGUGAAAGAUUGGCGUGCAUUGAAUGAAUACACUUAGUGUUUUUUAUACUUAAGAAGGAGGGAGUUUAAGCUUAAAUUAUAUAUUAAUGAAAGUAGAUGGCUAUCGUUUCUUCGUUCUUUCGUAAUACAAUUUUGAGAUACAAUGGUAAAUCGUUGCUCUUUUAUUGGGUGCAAAAGUGGGCUGCCUCCUACUAAAGGAUCUGCUCCACUUGGAAGCGAUGAAUUAAAACCUUCAUAGUUCUUCUCAAGAAUCAGUAAACAAGAAAUGCAUGGACCAAGGCUGUUUAACGCAAAAAUUUAAACACCAACUAAAUAUUCAAGGGUUUGCUCUCUUCAUUUUAGAUCGGACUAUUUCACUAAUACGAUAUUAGACAAACAGAUCUGCGUUCUAUACGUCGGGGUGAUUUAAAAAUAUGGAUUUUAAAACAAGAAGUUUCAAUUUUACCAAAAUAUCAAGUAAACUACUGAUUAAGCAUUCCUAAGUUAAAACCUACCAGCUAUUGUUCAGCAGAAUCAAGGCUUUCCAAGGAAUCAGAUUUGUUAAAUGAGGAGAUUGUGGAAUUUGAACUACUAAAAUUCCAUCUUUAUUCAUUUAUCAUGAGAAUGAAAAAAAAUAAUCAUUUUUAUUUAUUUGUUAUGAUGAACUCAAGGGACCCAAUGGGAUAUCGAGCUUGGUUAUAAAACGGAAAUUAAAAUUUAUUGCAUGUCUUAAACGCAAGAAACAUCCACUUUCAAAAUUUAAGCAUAUCAUACAAACCAAUACAGUUGAUACAAUUGACUGUAAAACCUCUUGUCUCAUCUUAAAGUAUUUCUUAUUGCAAAAGAAGACGGUGAUGAAGUGUCAUUGGAUAUUAUUUCAAAAAUUGAAUUUGUGUCAUGAUUAAGCAUAUACAUCUAAUGACAAAUUAAAGUUUGCUUUGGAGUAACUGAAGUUGGUUAUAAAUGGUGAUGGAUAUAAACUAUAUAUCCCGUACUUGAAGGCAAUUGCUUUUCUAUGGUUUGUUGCCAAUCCAGCUCUCUAUCAUUUGAUUAAGGAGAGUGGCAGUCUUUCUCUAUCUUCUAUUAGACAUUUUCAUCAUGUUUAACAGUUGAAAAAGGGUUUACUGUUCAUACAAAAGUAUAUCUAGAGGAUAUAAUUAAGAAGCUAUGCUCUAAAAAUCGAUUUAUAGAUCUCAUAUUCAAUGAAGUAUAUAGUUCUCGUCGCUGUGGGUAUUCAAAUGGUAAGUUUUUUGGAAAUGAGAAACAAGGAAACACUCCAAAAACAAUGCUUUGUUUCAUGGAUACUGGAGUAGCUUCUAUAUAGUUAUGGAGAUAUAGGUUGAAUGGCUCCUCUAAUUAAUAUAUUUUGAUCUAUAAUUAUCAACAAGUGGUUUUGGAUUUGUAUUAAAAAUCUCACUGAAAUUGGUUUUUUUUUAUUGUAACAUCAAUUUGGGAUGGGCAUGAGUACAAUAUAAAAUUUGUAGAGGAGCUAGUAUGCACUACGGAAAAAAACUUUGUUGUAACAAAUUUGCGAAAAAGGCUUCCUUCAAUAAAAUAUUUGCUAUUUUUUGGACACAAGUCAAUCUAUACGAACUUUCUUAAUAAAAAAGAACUAAAACCCCCAGUUUUUGAUAGAAAAAUAGUUUGUGGUAGUUUAAGUCAUGUAAUUGAGUUAUACAAGGAAGAAUUGUCAUCUUCAUUUCGUUGUGUUUAUCAACUAAAUCAUUAAUUAUCAAUCCAUAGCCAAUAAAAAGAUGCAAUGUGAACUUAGCAGUCAAGUUUCUCAGCGAAUCAACAGAUACAGAAUUCCGCUAUUUCUGGAGAAGAAGAAAACAAAAAUUGGAUUUAUACUGCAAAUUUUAUUAACAUAAUAAAUUCAUUUUUUUAUACGAUUUAUGUAAAAUCUUGUAUUGCAUCACUUAAUACCCGUGAUAAUUCAAGAAAGGCAGUAUAUAGAAAUGACCUUAGUCAAUUAGAAUUCCUGCAAAGCUUUUUUCAUUGGGUAGGUUGUUUAUAUUUAUUAACUUUAUACUUUACCAUUAUCGUAAUAAUCAAUUUAUCCAUACGUUGUUAUGUAUACAAUAAAGUUGUUUUCUUUAUUCUUCAGAUAACUGAAUGAAAUCAAUAUUUAAAAAAAAAAAUGAAAAGCUUACAAAGAUGACUGAGCCAGAUUCCGAGUACAAUUAUAUAAUAAAGUGCAUCUCGUACCACAGCUUUAUUAGCAUCCAACUUCAUAGCAAUACAUGAAGACGAUUCUAUCACUUUACACACGAAAAUAUAACACUUCACUAUAUAUGUAGUCAUAUCAUCUUAGGACAAAUACGGAAUGAAGUGUCUGUUAUAACGCUUUGAGAUCAUAAUUAUAUCAUUAUUCACUAAAUAAACAUACAAAGAUAUUUUUAACAAAUUGCUCGCUUCCAAUGUAUGCAAUAUAUCAUUCUUGCGAUUGCAAUGAGAUCUUUAUAUGACCAUAGGCAGGCUUGUUGUCGUUCACCUUUUUUAAUCGUUUAGUGAACGAUAAUUGUUCACUUUUUAGAACGUUUUUGUUUAUUUUUUUGACCAAUUUCAGAAAAAUAAAAUGCACUCAUUGUAAAUCGACCAAUUUUCAACAAACCUGUAUUGUAUAAUGAUGCAAUAUUUAGGUAUUACAUUAUAUUAUUAUCAGGGAUGAAAAUUACAUGCAUUUCUUAUCUGGCCUGUUGAUUUUUUUUAAUUGGUUAUGUGAAGAAUGAAUUUUCUUCUUAGCAGUUGUCAUUAUUAUUCAAUUCUUUAGUAGUAAACAUCCUUUACUAAAUAGAUACUAUUGUAUUCAAAGCCUAAUGGAACAUUUGUGUGUUCAUAAAAGACGGAGUGUAACCCUAAGGAUUUGUUGCGGAGUUGUAAUUGUGUAUCCUUGUUGUACUCAGAGUAGAAUUAAGGAUCGACAUCGGAGUAAUUUUUGCAUAUGUCCUUGUUUAUAUCCUUUUCUCCUUCCUCCCUUGUCACAGCUUAAUGUAUCUGAUCUAAUGAAACGUCAUGAACAUUAUUCUUUAUCUCUCCGAAAACAUUCUUUAAAUUGUUAGAUUUACCAUGCUGAGUUUCGGUUCCUUUUUUUUAACAUGUCCAUUCUACACUGGAUUUUCAUCAUUAAUUAUGAUAUAUGAAUACUUUACGCCCCAAUUUCUGUACAAAUAUUGAAAGAGAUUAACAUGUCAAACGAUACGCUGGCCGAACAAUUUCUUAGCUUAAUAACUUUUUAUUUAUAUAUUGUAUAUCUGAUAAUAUUGAGUAAAUACAGGCAUGUAAGCGUUCCGCUAUUUUGGUGGUUCGUUCAUCGUUCAGCUAUUAUUUAGUUACGUUCUGCGUUCCAAUCAUAAAGUACACUUUACGACAGUAAAUCGCAACUUCCACUUUAAUAGUGUCAGGGAGGCCUCAUUUGAGAACUAUGUCUCGAGAUUAUUUGACACAAUAAUUCUGUGAAUAUCAGCGUUCAAAUUAGCUACAACUGGCAAAAUUUGGUUAAUUCAUUGUCGAGAUGGAGGUCAAAAGGCAAGGUAUAGCCGAUUUGUUUCGGGCUCAGCACAUCAACAAGACAAGAAAAACUUACCUGUAGACUGGUGCGUAAACUCCAGGAAUGACUGAACAUUCAAUUGUUUUAGAUCACCUGAAUUC